GACGUAGGGGGCGAGCGUUGUCCGGAUUUAUUGGGCGUAAAGAGCGCGUAGGCGGCCCGUUAAGUCGGAUGUGAAAACCCGUGGCUCAACCACGGGCCUGCAUCCGAUACUGGCGGGCUCGAGGCAGGCAGGGGAGAUCGGAAUUCCUGGUGUAGCGGUGAAAUGCGCAGAUAUCAGGAGGAACACCGGUGGCGAAGGCGGAUCUCUGGGCCUGUCCUGACGCUCAGGCGCGAAAGCUAGGGGAGCGAAUGGG
rnacentral:rRNA from 1 species